rnacentral:lncRNA from 1 species
GGGUUUGGUUCAUGCUCAACAUCCUGCUUCCUCACACUGUAUAGUACAACCCAACAAAAGUAGCAACUAGACAUUAUUCAUCAGAAAUUAAACAUGGUUAACCCAUAAAUUACACUUCAGCCUAAAUGAUUUGUUACUUGAUUAAAGUUCUUUUUAUCCACUGAAUUCUUAAAUACACAUCAGGUUAGAGAAAGUUAUAUCUAUUUUGGUCGAAAUUCGAUGCCAUAUACAAUAAGACCGGACAUGUUUUCUUCGUAACAUCUCAAUUUCAAACUCAUAGGAACAUGAUCCUUGUUACCUGAGCUGAAUUCCCACACAAUAACUUCCAUCAAUCCGUCUUCUCUUUGUUUGGGAACCCCUCCACUGGCAUGUAAAUUUACUGAUCUUGGAGAUCUAAAAUAAAGAAACUUAAGCUCUCUGUUUUUCCUAAGGUGUACAUCUUGCACCUUCACCGGACACUGCAACCCAUGACACUCUUACAACUUUUGGGUUUCAAUCUUGCAUUUUAUUCGAAAUACUUGUACUGAUAAGAGCUCAACCACUUCAAGAAAUCUGCAAUCAUGAUAAAUUGUAUGUGAGUUGGUACGAACCCAAAACCAAGUGAACAUGUUAAGUGCUGUGGAAAAGGUUUUUCUUUCCACCAUGUUGGAAUCAGUCGGAUAAAUAAUUACAUAGCCUAACUUAUCUAUUUAUACUAUUUGAAACAACCGUUUGAGAAUAAGAAAGUACAUCAGUUAGUUUAAAACUCAAACCUGGAUUCGGGCUCAUCGAGUGAUUUCCAGUUGAAACAACUAACAUCAGAAGUGUCAUAUAAAACCUUCUUUGCUGGAAGCGUGUGGCAUUUCUUACCACUCGCUUUGCUUAAUGAGAAUAACUGUCCAACAAAAAAAGUUAAUAAUGCAUCAUUACCAAAUAAGAAGACAUGUUCCACUUUUUCUAUUCAUAAUACAAUUGUUU